rfam:Otolemur garnettii contig125836, whole genome shotgun sequence.
UACUAUGAUAUAAAAAUUUUUUUAAACCAGUAUAAACAACCUUGUCAUGGAAGAGCAUAUUCUUGUUUAUUGGCAAAGCCGUCACCAUUUAAUUGGUAUCAGAUUCUGACUUGCUCAAGUAACAUUC